rnacentral:rRNA from 1 species
AUGGCCAUGGCAUCGACCGCGUCCGCCGUCUCCUUCUCCGCCCGCCCCUCCACGGUCCGGCCACGCGCCGCCUCCGCCGGGGCCGGGCGGGUUCCCGCGGGGACACCCCAGGGAGGCAAGUGGUGGGCGCCGCUGGUCGGCUGGUCCGGGAAGGCCGACUACAUCGAGGCCGCGCCGCCGGUGGUGGCCGAGGAGGAGAAGCCCGGGAGGUCCUUCGUGGGCGGCCUGACGGAGGAGAAGGCGCGGCAGCUGCGGGCCCGGAUGUCGGAGACGGAGAGCUUCCACGACGCCAUGUACCACUCCGCCAUCGCCUCCCGCCUCGCCCGCUCCUCCUAG